UACGUAGGGUGCAAGCGUUGUCCGGAAUUAUUGGGCGUAAAGAGCUCGUAGGCGGUUUGUUGCGUCGGCUGUGAAAUCCCGAGGCUCAACCUCGGGUCUGCAGUCGAUACGGGCAGACUAGAGUUCGGCAGGGGAGACUGGAAUUCCUGGUGUAGCGGUGAAAUGCGCAGAUAUCAGGAGGAACACCGGUGGCGAAGGCGGGUCUCUGGGCCGAUACUGACGCUGAGGAGCGAAAGCGUGGGGAGCGAACAGG
rnacentral:rRNA from 1 species